AUUGAACGCUGGCGGCAGGCCUAACACCUGCAAGUCGCACGAGUGGCGGACGGGUGAGUAAUGUCUGGGAAACUGCCCGAUGUAGGGGGAUAACUAAUGGAAACAGUAGCUAAUACCGCAUACCAUCGGAUGUGCCCAGAUGGGAUGAGCUAGUAGGGGGGGUAACGGCGCACCUAGGCGAAGAUCCCUAGCUGGUCUGAGAGGAUGACCAGCCACACGGGAACUGAGAGAAGGUCCAGAUUCCUACGGGAGGCAGCAGUGGGGAAUAUGGAACAAGGGGCGCAAGCCUGAUGCAGCCAUGCCGCGUGUAUGAAGAAGGCCUUCGGGUUGUAAAGUACUUUCAGCGAGGAGGCGUUACUCGCAGAAGAAGCACCGGCUAACUCCGUGCCAGCAGCCGCGGUAAGAC
rnacentral:rRNA from 1 species